GGAGAUCGAGCUCCAUGGGAGCCAAAACCCUAACAAGACUAAAUCACCAAAUUGAAGGGUUUAUUAUGGCUCAAAUUCAAGAAAGAACAUGGAUUAAUGAUCACCUAAGUAUUUCCUACAUCAAUGAGGUGUAGAUGAUAAGCAUCAUGUCAAGAGGAUGCAAGCACAAAUGGCAAUCGGGUCAAGAGGAAACAAGGAAACGGUCACGAAUACGGACGCUUAAGGUAGUACGAAUCACAGAUUUUUCAUUCCAAGAGUAGCGAUCAAAGACCGAGUCACUAGUCGGAUUGUACGGGAAUACUUGAUUAUGUAAAAUGAUAGUUAUAGUGUAUGUUUCUGUUAUGUAAAUGAGUACAAAAGCUAGUCUUGUUGUAAGAAAGUAUUUUAUAAUGAAUUUGCAAGUAGGGCAAAAACGUGUUCAUUGAAAGAAAUUUUUAUGGAACGA